GAUGAACGCUGGCGGCGUGCCUAAUACAUGCCAGUCGAGCGAACAGACGAGGAGCUUGCUCCUCUGACGUUAGCGGCGGACGGGUGAGUAACACGUGGAUAACCUACCUAUCAGACUGGGAUAACUUCGGGAAACCGGAGCUAAUACCGGAUAAUUUAUUGAACCGCAUGGUUCAAUCGUGAAAUACGGUUUUGCUGUCACUUAUAGAUGGAUCCGCGCCGCAUUAGCUAGUUGGUAAGGUAACGGCUUACCAAGGCAACGAUGCGUAGCCGACCUGAGAGGGUGAUCGGCCACACUGGAACUGAGACACGGUCCAGACUCCUACGGGAGGCAGCAGUAGAGAAUCUUACGCAAUGGGCGAAAGCCUGACGGAGCAACGCCGCGGGAGUGAUGAAGGUCUUCGGAUCGGAAAACGCUGUUAGUAGGGAAGAACAAAUGUGUAAGUAACUAUGCACGUCUUGACGGUACCUAAUCAGAAAGCCACGGCUAACUACGUG
rnacentral:rRNA from 1 species